UACGAAGGGGCUAGCGUUGUUCGGAAUUACUGGGCGUAAAGCGCGCGGUAGGCGGUGAUCUUGUCAGAGGUGAAAUCCCGAGGCUCAACUUCGGAAUUGCCUUUGAAACGGGAUCGCUUGAGUCCGAGAGAGGAUGGCGGAAUUCCUAGUGUAGAGGUGAAAUUCGUAGAUAUUAGGUAAGAACACCGGUGGCGAAGGCGGCCAUCUGGCUCGGUACUGACGCUGAGACGCGAAAGCGUGGGGAGCGAACGAGG
rnacentral:rRNA from 1 species